GCCGAGCUUCCGACCCCACUCGCCCUCCCUGCCCUCCUUCUCUUUUCCUCGUUGAGCUACUCUGAGCUGUGGGAUCCUGUGAACAACUGUCGUCUUUCCUUCUCUUCAGUGCUAACUUCUCACCUUGAAGCGCCUUUUGAACCCCGGACAGAGCACACAACUGGAGGGAAUUGCAGGGGUGGGAAUUAAGACUAGGGAGUCUUUCCUCUGAAGUCGCUAAACCAGGGGUCAGGAGGGAAAUGGAUUCCUGAGGAACGGAAAGGUUUAUAUCCAGUGAAGAAAUCAAAUCGGAGUGGGAAGAGACACAGGGAAAUGGAGCCAUCCGUUGGCUACUGGCUGGAACCAGAAGUUCAGAGAUCUGCCUUAUAAACACUUUAAACUGGUUUGUGGUACACAAAGGGGAGCUGGUGGGAGAGAAGCCUGUACAGGGGCUCCCUUCAUUGGCAUCUCCUGGAGUGCCUUGUCGGGUGCAUUCCUUUCUUAUUCAGGAGGCAUGGAUGCAGAGAACAUACCGUGACUUGAUACUUGGUCAUCGUUGAGUGGCCAGUGCACAUACACUCGGAACAAAUGCUGGAAAACCCCAAGGACUAACAGGACAGUCCUCCCUCUCGGCCAUUCUGUUUCUAACUUCUCAUCUUCCAGAUGGUUCCACACUAGAGCAAACGCCUCAUUCUUCUGAGAAACCCAGAAAGGGGUGGAGUGGGGUGUCAUGUCUGGCUGCGGUGGUGGGUCCUGUUGGUCUGGGAGGGAAAGGUAUGACAGGGAGGAAGAGGCAGGAAGUGGGUGGGCCAAGGUAUUGCUUAGCUGAUUUUCUGCUGUGCAGAUCUGAUGCUGACAGCUCGUGUCCACUUCCCUGGUUCUCUGGGGUCUCUUCUCCACUCAGAUGAAUUCAAAGUGGAGAAUUCCACAUACUCCAACCUACCCAGGGGACCCAGAAGGGACUUCACUGUCAGUCCAGACCUCCUGGCCUCUCAUAAGGUGGAUCUGCCAGCGUACUAUUGUCCCGUCCACUGGGACUGGCCAAAUGGCUAUUGCUGUCCUUUGCUGACAACUCCUUUCUGUGCAAACUGUCCCAGGCAAAUCACAAAGCUGUUCCUUGAGGUGGAACUGCCAGAGUGCACUUUCCUUCCCUAGAUGGAAGUGGGUCGAGGCUAGCUCUGCUGCCCAGGCCCUCGUUCCAGGCAGUGUGACUGUUUACAUGGUUUGGCAAUAGGUUUGCUUCUGAUUGCUUCAGAGUGGCUGGUUGAUUUUGUUUGCUUUGCUUUCUUUCUUCCCCCAAAUUAUGACAGGAAAAAACAAACCGAAACCACCCUAGGAAAUUGCUGGUUGCCUGUCCCCAUGUGAUGCUAACUGUUGCCCUCUUCUGGGUAUCAUUUCUCUACCUUAUGACCAAAUGCCCGUCCUAUAGAGUGUCUGAUUGGAUCCUCUGUUGCGUAUUCUGAUGGUGCCUGCUGGUUUGAUGUGGAGCUAUCCUGUGAAAUAAAACAGCUUAACUUUUUCUCAAACAU
rnacentral:lncRNA from 1 species